GAUUAGAUACCCGGGUAGUCCCAGCUGUAAACGAUGCUCGCUAGGUGUUGGGUCGGCCAUGCGCCGCCCCAGUGCCGCAGGGAAGCCGUUAAGCGAGCCGCCUGGGGAGUACGGCCGCAAGGCUGAAACUUAAAGGAAUUGGCGGGGGAGCACCACCAGGCGUGAAGCCUGCGGUUUAAUUGGAGUCAACGCCGGGAAUCUUACCGGGGUCGACAGCAGAGUGAAGGCCAGGUUGAAGGCCUUGCCAGACGAGCUGAGAGGAGGUGCAUGGCCGUCGCCAGUUCGUGCCGUGAGGUGUCCUCUUAAGUGAGGUAACGAACGAGACCCGUGCCCCAUGUUGCCAACAGAUCCUAUAGGGAUGCUGGGCACUCUUGGGGGACCGCUGCCGACAAGGCUGAGGAAGGUGCGGGCAACGGCAGGUCAGUAUGCCCCGAAUACCCCGGGCCACACGCGGGCUGCAAUGGUAGGGACAGAGGGCUGCAACACCGAAAGGUGAAGCCAAUCCCUAAACCCUACCUCAGUUGGGAUUGAGGGCUGUAACCCGCCCUCAUGAACAUGGAAUGCCUAGUAACCGCGCGUCACCAUCGCGCAGUGAAUACGUCCCUGCUCCUUGCACACACUGCCCGUCGAACCACCCGAAUGGGUUUUGGGUGAGGCGUGAUCGAAGGUUGGUCGCGUCGAACCUGGGGCCCGUAAGGAGGGUUA
rnacentral:rRNA from 1 species